UACGGGAGGGAGCUAGCGUUGUUCGGAAUUACUGGGCGUAAAGCGCACGUAGGCGGCUUUGUAAGUUAGAGGUGAAAGCCCGGGGCUCAACCCCGGAAUUGCCUUUAAGACUGCAUCGCUUGAAUCCAGGAGAGGUGAGUGGAAUUCCGAGUGUAGAGGCGAAAUUCGUAGAUAUUCGGAAGAACACCAGUGGCGAAGGCGGCUCACUGGACUGGUAUUGACGCUGAGGUGCGAAAGCGUGGGGAGCAAACAGG
rnacentral:rRNA from 1 species